rnacentral:rRNA from 1 species
GAUGAACGCUGGCGGCGUGCCUAAUACAUGCAAGUCGAGCGAACAGACGAGGAGCUUGCUCCUCUGACGUUAGCGGCGGACGGGUGAGUAACACGUGGAUAACCUACCUAUAAGACUGGGAUAACUUCGGGAAACCGGAGCUAAUACCGGAUAAUAUAUUGAACCGCAUGGUUCAAUAGUGAAAGACGGUUUUGCUGUCACUUAUAGAUGGAUCCGCGCCGCAUUAGCUAGUUGGUAAGGUAACGGCUUACCAAGGCGACGAUGCGUAGCCGACCUGAGAGGGUGAUCGGCCACACUGGAACUGAGACACGGUCCAGACUCCUACGGGAGGCCGCAGGAGGGAAUCUUCCGCAAUGGGCGAAAGCCUGACGGAGCAACGCCGCGUGAGUGAUGAAGGUCUUCGGAUCGUAAAACUCUGUUAUUAGGGAAGAACAAAUGUGUAAGUAACUAUGCACGUCUUGACGGUACCUAAUCAGAAAGCCACGGCUAACUACGUG